rnacentral:rRNA from 1 species
GACGAACGCUGGCGGCGUGCUUAACACAUGCAAGUCGAGCGGUAAGGCUCCUUCGGGAGUACACGAGCGGCGAACGGGUGAGUAACACGUGAGUAAUCUGCCCUUCACUUCGGGAUAACCACCGGAAACGGUGGCUAAUACCGAAUACGACCAGUCUUCGCAUGAGGUGCUGGUGGAAAGUCUUUUCGGUGAAGGAUGUGCUCGCGGCCUAUCAGCUUGUUGGUGGGGUAAUGGCCUACCAAGGCUUCGACGGGUAGCCGGCCUGAGAGGGUGACCGGCCAAGCUGGGAAGGAGACACGGCACCGAGUACGGGGGGGGGAGGCGGGGGGGAGGAGGGGACAAUGGGGGAAAGCCUGGGCCGGCAGCGCGGCGGGGGGGAGGGCGGUGUGGGGGGUGUACACUUGUGUCAGAAAGGACGAAGGCCCCGGGCGGGUGGGAAGGGUAGGUAAAAAAGAGGAACCGGCAAACCAGUG